AGCGCAGACGGCAGUGCAAGUCUGAUGUGAAAGCCCGGGGCUCAACCCCGGAACUGCAUUGGAAACUGUACAGCUUGAGUGUCGGAGAGGUAAGCGGAAUUCCUAGUGUAGCGGUGAAAUGCGUAGAUAUUAGGAGGAACACCGGUGGCGAAGGCGGCUUACUGGACGAUUACUGACGUUGAGGCUCGAAAGCGUGGGGAGCAAACAG
rnacentral:rRNA from 1 species